rnacentral:rRNA from 1 species
UUGAAAAAAUAGUUUGGUGGUUUGGGCAUCCCUAAUAUAGCUGAUAUGAACCUCAGCCUGCUAGCUUCGUGGGCUAAGAGAUAUUUCAACGAUGAUGGUAAAAUUUGGAAGCAAAUUAUUGACGCUAAAUAUAAUACUUGCAAUCCUAACAUUUUUGCUUGCCCUGAUAGUGGUGCUUCCCCUCUCUGGAAGGGCAUUCUUUGGCCUAUAAAAGCUGCAGAAGUUUGCAUUUCCUGGAAGGUGGGUAAUGGCAAGAGUGUUAGGUUUUGGGAGGACAGGUGGACUGGUAACGCUACUCUUGCUACUAGCUAUUGGGAGUUGUAUAAUAUUGCCAAUACCACUAAUGUUUCAUUCAGUGAGGUGUGGGAUGGCGUGUCUCUGAAAAUCAAUUUCAGAAGAUGUUUUUCGCCAAACAUGCUUGCUGCUUGGAAUGAGAUUUUUUGUGUUGUCAAGGAUCUGAACUUAAAUGAUUGUGAUGACACUAUCAUUUGGGAUUUGGAGCCUAAGGGGAUAUACACUGUUAAAUCCUAUUAUAAUUUUGUGAAUUUUAGAGGUGUGGCCCCAGAUAACAUUAUAUCGAUUUGGAAAGCUAAUGUUCCUCAGAGGAUUCAGAUCUUCCUUUGGUUGGUUGUGAGAAACAAAUUACUCACCAGAGAUAAUCUUCUGAAGAGACAGCAUGUGGCUGAUCCUACAUGCCUGUUCUGUAAUGAAGCAGAAUCGGUCUAUCAUCUGUUUUUUGAUUGCGUUGUUGCGAGAGAACUCUGGAGAGAGAUAUUUAGUUCCCUGGGGGACAACGUCGAGCUUAACUCGGACGUGCUCCUAGAGUGGUGGGCGAGUAAUGACAACAAAGCUGCAGACAUUAUGCUUCAUGCAGCUAUUUUGUGGGCUCUCUGGAGAUAUCGCAACGAUAUUUGUUUUAAUGCUGUGCCCUGGCUUGGUAUGCAGGUUUUGUGGCUAAAAACAGCUUCCUUUUUAACUUUGUGGGAGAUCAGGUGUGCGGAUGCAGUCAAGAGGAGAUGUCGACUCCUGGUACAAAAGAUGGAGCAUAUGGCGCGAGCACCACCUCUUCUCCUCUGGCCAGACCCUGGCUAG